rnacentral:rRNA from 1 species
GGGGAAUUUUCCGCAAUGGGCGAAAGCCUGACGGAGCAACGCCGCGUGAGGGAAGAAGGCCUCUGGGCUGUAAACCUCUUUUCUCAAGGAAGAAGAUCUGACGGUACUUGAGGAAUAAGCCACGGCUAAUUCCGUGCCAGCAGCCGCGGUAAUACGGGAGUGGCAAGCGUUAUCCGGAAUGAUUGGGCGUAAAGCGUCCGCAGGUGGUUUAUCAAGUCUGCUGUCAAAGAGUNUGGCUCAACCAAAUAAAGGCAGUGGAAACUGACAGACUGGAGUGCGGUAAGGGCAGAGGGAAUUCCUGGUGUAGCGGUGAAAUGCGUANAGAUCAGGAAGAACACCGGUGGCGAAAGCGCUCUGCUGGGCCGUAACUGACACUGAGGGACGAAAGCUANGGGAGCGAAUGGGAUUANAUACCCCANUANUCA